GACGAACGCUGGCGGCGUGCUUAACACAUGCAAGUCGAACGGAAAGGCCCUGCUUUUGUGGGGUGCUCGAGUGGCGAACGGGUGAGUAACACGUGAGUAACCUGCCCUUGACUUUGGGAUAACUUCAGGAAACUGGGGCUAAUACCGGAUAGGAGCUCCUGCUGCAUGGUGGGGGUUGGAAAGUUUCGGCGGUUGGGGAUGGACUCGCGGCUUAUCAGCUUGUUGGUGGGGUAGUGGCUUACCAAGGCUUUGACGGGUAGCCGGCCUGAGAGGGUGACCGGCCACAAUGGGACUGGGAUACCGCCCAGAAUCCUACGGGGGGCAAGCGGGGGGAAUAUUGGACAAAGGGCGGGAGCCCUAAGCCGCAACGGCGCGGGCGGGAAGACGGCCUUCGGGUUGUAAACCGCUUUCGCCUGUGACGAAGCGGGAGUUACGGUAAUGGGUAAAGAAGCACCGGCUAACUACGUG
rnacentral:rRNA from 1 species